GAUCCAGGUAUUCCCGAGGCCUAGUGGGAGCUUUCUUGCUGAUCAUCAUCCACCGGGGUCAUCCAGAUAGCUGCAUGGCCUCCGCAGACCCGAUUUCUCCCUCUAUCUUUUACUUUUCAGUAUUCAAGACUACAUCUGUACUAGGCUGUUGUAAUCUUGUGAUUGAGGUUCUUGACUUGUGAGACCAGACUAGUGGGCUAUUGUAGAGAUAUUAUUAUGGUUUCCGCACAUUUUAUCUACUGUUUCAGACUUCUGUUUAUUUUGAAUUGGUAAUUAAACUUUGUUGAUUGGUAAUGAACCCUAUAAAAAAGGGGUUGUGAGUGUUAAUUGGUCAGGCUUGCCUAGCAUUGUGUUGGGCGCCAUCACGGCCGGGG
rnacentral:lncRNA from 1 species